CACGAACCGGACAAACGGUAUUAGGAAUUAUUGGGCUUAAAGGGUGCGUAGGCGGGGGUGGUAGUUGGGUGUGAAAGCCCACGGCACAACCGUGGAACUGCGCCCGAUACUGCAGUGCUAGAGGGAGACAGAGGUAAGCGGAACUGAUGGUGGAGCGGUGAAAUGCGUUGAUAUCAUCAGGAACACCAGUGGCGAAAGCGGCUUACUGGGUCUCUUCUGACGCUGAGGCACGAAAGCUAGGGUAGCGAACGGG
rnacentral:rRNA from 1 species